rnacentral:rRNA from 1 species
UACAGAGGUCUCAAGCGUUGUUCGGAAUCAUUGGGCGUAAAGGGUGCGUAGGCGGCGCGGUAAGUCGGGUGUGAAAUCUUGGAGCUUAACUCCGAAACUGCAUUCGAUACUGCCGUGCUUGAGGACUGGAGAGGAGACUGGAAUUUACGGUGUAGCGGUGAAAUGCGUAGAUAUCGUAAGGAAGACCAGUGGCGAAGGCGGGUCUCUGGACAGUUCCUGACGCUGAGGCACGAAGGUCAGGGGAGCAAACGGG